rnacentral:rRNA from 1 species
UACGAAGGGGGCAAGCGUUGUUCGGAAUUACUGGGCGUAAAGGGCUCGUAGGCGGCCAACUAAGUCAUACGUGAAAUCCCUCGGCUUAACCGGGGAACUGCGUCCGAUACUGGCAGGCUUGAAUCCGGGAGAGGGAUGUGGAAUUCCAGGUGUAGCGGUGAAAUGCGUAGAUAUCUGGAGGAACACCGGUGGCGAAGGCGGCAUCCUGGACCGGUAUUGACGCUG